CGAAGCAACGCGAAGAACCUUACCAGGUCUUGACAUCCCGAUGCUAUUCUAGAGAUAGAAAGUUACUUCGGUACAUCGGUGACAGGUGGUGCAUGGUUGUCGUCAGCUCGUGUCGUGAGAUGUUGGGUUAAGUCCCACAACGAGCGCAACCCCUAUUGUUAGUUGCCAUCAUUCAGUUGGGCACUCUAGCGAGACUGCCGGUAAUAAACCGGAGGAAGGUGGGAUGACGUCAAAUCAUCAUGCCCCUUAUGACCUGGGCUACACACGUGCUACAAUGGUUGGUACAACGAGUUGCGAGUCGGUGACGGCGAGCUAAUCUCUUAAAGCCAAUCUCAGUUCGGAUUGUAGGCUGCAACUCGCCUACAUGAAGUCGGAAUCGCUAGUAAUCGCGGAUCAGCACGCCGCGGUGAAUACGUUCCCGGGCCUU
rnacentral:rRNA from 1 species